GAACGAACGCUGGCGGCAUGCCUAACACAUGCAAGUCGAACGAGACCUUCGGGUCUAGUGGCGCACGGGUGCGUAACGCGUGGGAACCUGCCCUUAGGUUCGGAAUAACUCCCCGAAAGGGGUGCUAAUACCGGAUAAUGUCUUCGGACCAAAGAUUUAUCGCCUUUGGAUGGGCCCGCGUUGGAUUAGCUAGUUGGUAGGGUAAAAGCCUACCAAGGCGACGAUCCAUAGCUGGUCUGAGAGGAUGAUCAGCCACACUGGGACUGAGACACGGCCCAGACUCCUACGGGAGGCAGCAGUGGGGAAUAUUGGACAAUGGGCGAAAGCCUGAUCCAGCAAUGCCGCGUGAGUGAUGAAGGCCUUAGGGUUGUAAAGCUCUUUUACCCGGGAUGAUAAUGACAGGACCGGGAGAAUAAGCUCCGGCUAACUCCG
rnacentral:rRNA from 1 species